CUUUCUAGAAGCUUCUAGAAGAUGGUAGAGACGCUCCACACCAGCCAUCCUUUCCUUUGUGUCUUUGGCGCGUGUGAGUUCCAACGCUUCCUCCAUUUGGAUCUGCUUCAGAUCUAAUAAUCACUUCGGGAAGUUAAGCGCAGUUGAAGAGAGGAAGUGAAUUGAAUUUGGAAGCGCGUUUGAGAAUCGAUUAUUAAGUGAUUAAUUUAGCGGAGAAGUUGAAUUG
rnacentral:lncRNA from 1 species